GACGUGAGCCUGAGUCACACUGGCAGCUGGGCAGUUCUGUCCUGCUUUUCAUCCAAAAGGACAGAGGGAACGGCCACAAGAAUGAGCGAGUGAGCCAGGGGCCGAUGUUGUAACUGGACAAACAGCUCAAAGCUGGGUUUCCAAGCGUGGCAGGUGGCUCAUUAUGCGUGACAGAGGCAAGAGAGCAGGCUAAUCAGGCCUAGAUCCCACAGCUGCGGAGGUUCAAGCCCUGUGCAGGCCACCAACCACUCCGUGAGGCUCGGGCUCUUUGGGUUCAAAGUUACCGAGGACCCCUGGGCGGAGCACAGGAUCACGACUCUAAGUCCACUUCUACUCCUUCAACAUGAGGCCAGGGCACCACGGGUUUGAAUCUGUCAUCCCCAGGAGCUAGUCCAUUGCCCCCUCGG